UACGAAGGGGGCUAGCGUUGUCGGGAUUUACUGGGCGUAAAGGAUGCGUAGGUGGAUAUUUAAGUGGGAUGUGAAAUACCCGAGCUCAACUUGGGUGCUGCAUUCCAAACUGGAUAUCUAGAGUGCAGGAGAGGUAAGUGGAAUUCCUAGUGUAGCGGUGAAAUGCGUAGAGAUUAGGAAGAACACCAGUGGCGAAGGCGACUUACUGGACUGUA
rnacentral:rRNA from 1 species